GUGGGGAAUAUUGGACAAUGGGCGAAAGCCUGAUCCAGCCAUGCCGCGUGUGUGAAGAAGGUCUUCGGAUUGUAAAGCACUUUAAGUUGGGAGGAAGGACAGUAAGUUAAUACCUUGCUGUUUUGACGUUACCGACAGAAUAAGCACCGGCUAACUUCGUGCCAGCAGCCGCGGUAAUACGAAGGGUGCAAGCGUUAAUCGGAAUUACUGGGCGUAAAGCGCGCGUAGGUGGUUUUGUAAGUUGGAGGUGAAAUCCCCGGGCUCAACCUGGGAACUGCCUCCAAAACUGCAUGACUAGAGUACGGUAGAGGGUAGUGGAAUUUCCUGUGUAGCGGUGAAAUGCGUAGAUAUAGGAAGGAACACCAGUGGCGAAGGCGACUACCUGGACUGAUACUGACACUGAGGUGCGAAAGCGUGGGGAGCAAACAGGAUUAGAAACCCCAGUAGUCC
rnacentral:rRNA from 1 species